GAUGAACGCUGGCGGCGUGCCUAAUACAUGCAAGUCGAGCGAACAGACGAGGAGCUUGCUCCUCUGACGUUAGCGGCGGACGGGUGAGUAACACGUGGAUAACCUACAUAUAAGACCGGGAUAACUUCGGGAAACCGGAGCUAAUACAGGAUAAUAUAUUGAACCGCAUGGUUCAAUAGUGAAAGACGGUUUUGCUGUCACUUAUAGAUGGAUCCGCGCCGCAUUAGCUAGUUGGUAAGGUAACGGCUUACCAAGGCAACGAUGCGUAGCCGACCUGAGAGGGUGAUCGCCCACACUGGACCUGAGACACGGUCCAGACUCCUACGGGAGGCCGCAGUAGGGAAUCUUCCGCGAUGGGCGAAAGCCUGACGGAGCAACGCCACGUGAGUGAUGAAGGUCUUCGGAUCGUAAAACUCUGUUAUUAGGGAAGAACGAAUGUGUAAGUAACUAUGCACGUCUUGACGGUACCUAAUCAGAAAGCCACGGCUAACUACGUG
rnacentral:rRNA from 1 species